rnacentral:rRNA from 1 species
GCAGUCGACGGUUGUAGCAGUACAGCAGUGGCAGACGGGUGAGUAACACGUGGGAACCUACCUAGGGGUACGGAAUAACUCAGGGAAACUUGUGCUAAUACCGUAUACGACCUUCGGGUGAAAGAUUUAUCGCCCCUAGAUGGGCCCGCGUUGGAUUAGCUAGUUGGUGGGGUAAAAGCCUACCAAGGCGACGAUCCAUAGCUGGUCUGAGAGGAUGAUCAGCCACACUGGGACUGAGACACGGCCCAAACUCCUACGGGAGGCAGCAGUAGGGAAUCUUGGACAAUGGGCGAAAGCCUGAUCCAGCCAUGCCGCGUGAGUGAUGAAGGCCUUAGGGUUGUAAAGCUCUUUCGCCAGGGAAGAUAAUGACGGUACCUGGAUAAGAAGCCCCGGCAAACUUCGUGCCAGCAGCCGCGGUAAUACGAAGGGGGCUAGCGUUGUUCGGAAUUACUGGGCGUAAAGCGCACGUAGGCGGUUUUCCAAGUUGGAGGUGAAAUCCCUGGGCUCAACCCGGGAACUGCCUCCAAAACUGGAUGACUCGAGUCCGAGAGAGGUGAGUGGAAUUUCCAGUGUAGAGGUGAAAUUCGUAGAUAUUGGAAAGAACACCAGUGGCGAAGGCGGCUCACUGGCUCGGUACUGACGCUGAGGUG